ACGGACCAAGGAGUCUAGCAUGUGCGCGAGUCAUUGGGAUGUAACUAAACCUAAAGGCGAAAUGAAAGUGAAGGUCCGCCUCGCGCGGACCCAGGGAGGAUGGGCCCGCCCACGGGGGGCCCCGCACUCCCGGGGCGUCUCGUUCUCAUCGCGAGAGGAGGCGCACCCAGAGCGUACACGCUGGGACCCGAAAGAUGGUGAACUAUGCCUGGUCAGGACGAAGUCAGGGGAAACCCUGAUGGAGGUCCGUAGCGAUUCUGACGUGCAAAUCGAUCGUCGGAACUGGGUAUAGGGGCGAAAGACUAAUCGAACCAUCUAGUAGCUGGUUCCCUCCGAAGUUUCCCUCAGGAUAGCUGGCGCUCGCCGCGCGCGAGUCUCAUCCGGUAAAGCGAAUGAUUAGAGGCAUUGGGGUCGAAACGGCCUCAACCUAUUCUCAAACUUUAAAUGGGUGAGAUCUCCGGCUUGCUCGAACACGUGAAGCCGCGAGAUUUCGGAUCAGAGUGCCAAGUGGGCCACUUUUGGUAAGCAGAACUGGCGCUGUGGGAUGAACCAAACGCAGAGUUAAAGCGCCCAAAUCGACGCUUAUGGGAUACCAUGAAAGGCGUUGGUAACUUAAGACAGCAGGACGGUGGCCAUGGAAGUCGGAAU
rnacentral:rRNA from 1 species